UUUAAAAUAGUUGAUACUUUUGUUCUCCUUUUGUUUUAGACAGGGUUUUGUUAUGUAAUCCUUGAAAUCAAGUCAGUCUUCCUACCUCAACUUCACAUGCCUUGGAAUAACAGACCUCUGCUGCUACAACUCCAUUAACAAUGGAUAUUGGGAAAGAAGAGUGAUCUUACGUGAUCCACAUGUAGGAUUUUAAAAUCUGGCUCUGAAGAUACAUGACUAUCCCAAGAUACCAAGCCACAGUAAUGCUGGAUCCUGGAACAGACCAC
rnacentral:lncRNA from 1 species